rnacentral:rRNA from 1 species
UACGGAGGAUCCAAGCGUUAUCCGGAUUUAUUGGGUUUAAAGGGUGCGUAGGCGGCCUAUUAAGUCAGAGGUGAAAGACGGUAGCUCAACUAUCGCAGUGCCUUUGAUACUGAUGGGCUUGAAUGAACUAGAGGUAGGCGGAAUGAGACAAGUAGCGGUGAAAUGCAUAGAUAUGUCUCAGAACACCGAUUGCGAAGGCAGCUUACUAUGGUUUUAUUGACGCUGAGGCACGAAAGCCAGGGUAGCGAACGGG